rnacentral:lncRNA from 1 species
UCCAUUAAAUGGUGGGUCCCAACCUCAUAUGUUGGAGUCACAUGCAGUUUGACUUUUAUGCUUGCCAUGCUAAUUAUGACAUUACUGUAGACAAAAUUUGCCAUUAAGUUUUCUGAGUCAAUUCUUUCCCUUGGGGACCAGGGUGAAAACCCAAAAAAACCAGGAGCUCCCCACAAUGUUCGGCUUUAUUCAAUUGCAUCCACCAGGUAUGGAGACUUUUUUGAUGGGAAGACAACCACCCUGUGUGUUCGCCGUGCUGUCUAUUAUGACCCUGUGACUGGAAAAGAGGAUCCUUCAAAAAAUGGUGUGUGCAGCAAUUAUCUUUGUGAUUCAAAGCCUGGAGACAAAAUCAAGAUCACUGGUAAGGCUGUUUGAUAUUGUAGAAGGUUAUACUAAAUCAAGUUGUCCUAUUUGCCAAACCUAUAAAAAAAAACAUAAAAAAUUAACCCAUUUGUCAAAUUCCUAAGAAUCAGCUAUAGGAAUCUAAUUUUUCUUGUUUAUACCACUAGUUAAAGUACAUUUAUCUAGCUUGCAACCAAUUCUGAUGAGUAUAAUGGUAAUACAUUUUUUAAUAGCACGUCUAAUGUUGACAUUGACUAAGAAGACAUAAUGAAUGUGAAAAGCAUUAUUUUUCUUGCUAGUUUGGAUUAUAUGGCAAGUCUAUUUAUGGUAUAUUAUAUAUGGAAAGAUCUAGAAAGUAAUUUUCAUAAUUUUAUAGGAAUUAUAGCUUAGAACUAGAACUUUGCUAGUUUAGAUGACUCUUCUUAUGUAAAGUGCAUGUUCAUCAAAUCAUCCCUCCCCUAACACAAAUAACUUAUGUAGGCUGAAGUAAUCCUACUCUAUUUAAAAACACUUUGAAUGGUAAUUCAAUAACUUAUUUUAUGCUAGUUGAUUCAUGCUUAUUCUGUUUUCAUGCUUCUGGUAUCAAGACACAAUUGGCUCAAACUCAUAAUCAGAUGAACUUAAAAUUUCUCGGUCCAAUGGGAAGUAGAGAUUAUCUUUUUGGUGUAGAUUAUGGCAUUCACACUUUAUAUUUCUAUGAGUUGAAUUUAGAUAUCUUGGCAGGUCCCUCUGGUAAGAUUAUGCUUUUGCCAGAAGACGACCCAAAUGCUACUCACAUAAUGAUUGCUACUGGUACUGGAGUGGCUCCAUAUAGAGGUUACCUCCGCCGCAUGUUUAUGGAGGAUGUCCCUUCAUUCAGGUUUGGUGGUCUAGCUUGGCUGUUCCUUGGGGUGGCCAAUACUGACAGUCUCCUCUAUGACAAUGAGUUCACCAAGUAUCUUAAGGACUACCCAGAUCAGUUUAGAUAUGACAAGGCUCUUAGUAGAGAACAAAAGAACAGGAAUGGAGGCAAGAUGUAUGUUCAGGAUAAGAUUGAGGAAUACAGUGAUGAGAUUUUCAAGCUGUUGGAUGGUGGAGCCCAUAUAUAUUUUUGCGGGCUUAAGGGAAUGAUGCCUGGGAUCCAAGAAACUCUUAAGAGGGUUGCAGACCAGAGAGGAGAGAACUGGGAAGAGAAGCUUGCACAGCUCAAAAAGAACAAGCAAUGGCAUGUUGAAGUCUAUUGAUCUUGCAUAACUGUGCAUCAAGAGAAUGCUGGAGCCUCUUCCUGUAAGGCAGUAUGGCAUUUGUUCUUUUCCUGGUCAGUUUAUCUUACUAAACAAGAAACUUGACUAGAAGUUGCCAUUCAUCUGUAUUAUUGUUAUUUUACUGAAAUAAAGACAAGUUAUUAUCUUGAUUGUGAAAACUGUUUUUGCACUGCUGUUUUAUUGUCUAAAGCUUUUGAUAAAUGCUCAGAUAUGCUGUAUUCUGUCAAUUUCAAUUGUCUUCUAUUGUCAAGCCUUUCUGGUAUCUAGGGAUAAAAAUAAGACUAUUGUUUUAAUAACCUGUCCUGUCUUUUGGUUUGUGGAGGGCUUGAAGCUGGGACAUGCUGUAAUUGGGGUUGUGUUCUCAAAUGGGAAGUGGGGAUUGUGAUUUGUUUGAGUGGGAGAAGAGGGGAUUUUUGGGUUUAUUUGUGUUAUGGCUACCGCCAUGCUACCAUCAUCCCCUCCUAAACAGAUGGUGAUCAACUUAGCAAGGGCAGCUUGAAACAUCACCCUGCAAUGUGACACACUAAUUAAGAAAGAAAACAGGUUUGGCUUACCAGGAUAGCUGCAUUGCGAGAGAAAACAGGUUGAGCCUCCUGAGUCUGGGACUUCACAGAGCCUGAGCCUGAGGCAUAGCAGGGGAAACAAUUCUCUCCUGAUCACUAGAGCCUGAGCCAUUCAUUUUCUUAUGACAAACUUUAUAUCAUCUUCAACAGAUCCUAUGUGAACAGAUUUCAACCACAUAAUUCUUAUCAAUGUGCUUAUUUUUCCAAUCCCCCCCAAAUUGUUUCAUUUUUUUUCACG